GAUGAACGCUGGCGGCGUGCCUAAUACAUGCAAGUCGAGCGAACGGACGAGAAGCUUGCUUCUCUGGUGUUAGCGGCGGACGGGUGAGUAACACGUGGAUAACCUACCUAUAAGACUGGGAUAACUUCGGGAAACCGGAGCUAAUACCGGAUAAUAUUUUGAACCGCAUGGUUCAAAAGUGAAAGACGGUCUUGCUGUCACUUAUAGAUGGAUCCGCGCUGCAUUAGCUAGUUGGUAAGGUAACGGCUUACCAAGGCAACGAUGCAUAGCCGACCUGAGAGGGGGAUCGGCCACCAUGGAACUGAGACACGGUCCAGACUCCUACGGGAGGCAGCAGUAGGGAAUCUUACGCAAUGGGCGAAAGCCUGACGGAGCAACGCCGCGUGAGUGAUGAAGGUCUUCGGAUCGUAAAACUCUGUUAUUAGGGAAGAACAUAUGUGUAAGUAACUGUGCACAUCUUGACGGUACCUAAUCAGAAAGCCACGGCUAACUACGUG
rnacentral:rRNA from 1 species